CAUUUACUCCCUCCAUCCCAAAAUUCUUGUCUUAGAUUUGUCUAGAUACGGAUGUAUCUAAUACUAAAAUGUAACUAGAUACAUCCGUAUUUAGACAAAUCUAAGACAAGAAUUUUGGGACGGAGGGAGUACAUG
rnacentral:pre_miRNA from 1 species